rnacentral:rRNA from 1 species
GACGAACGCUGGCGGCGUGCCUAAUACAUGCAAGUCGAACGAGAUCCCGGAGCUUGCUCCGGGGGACAGUGGCGAACGGGUGAGUAACACGUGAGAAACCUGCCCUAGAGACCGGGACAACCGUUGGAAACGGCGGCUAAUACCGGAUGCCUUCACAUGGUCGCAUGGCCGAGUGAAGAAAUGCUCAGGUGCUCUAGGAGGGUCUCGCGGCCUAUCAGCUAGUUGGUGAGGUAACGGCUCACCAAGGCAUCGACGGGUAGCUGGUCUGAGAGGACGAUCAGCCACACUGGGACUGAGACACGGCCCAGACUCCUACGGGAGGCAGCAGUAGGGAAUCUUGCGCAAUGGGGGCAACCCUGACGCAGCAACGCCGCGUGUGGGAUGACGGCUUUCGGGUUGUAAACCACUUUCAGUGAUGACGAAAAUGACGGUAAUCACAGAAGAAGGUCCGGCCAACUACGUGCCU